AUGCGCCGCGCCCGGCCCGGUGCUGCGCGCGGCGGAGCCCCGCGGAUGCCGGCGGCGGGGGGCGGCCAGGCCGGGGCGGGCCCGCACGGCGGACCGCUGCGGCACCGGGAGUCCCGUCGGCUGCCGGCGGCGGCGCCGCGCCCCGCCACCCCUCCCGCUGCGGCUCGCUCGGCCGCGCUGGCUCUCGUCACCCUCCUCAGCUUCGCUUCCCGCUUCUACCGCCUGCCGGAGCCGCCGCACGUCUGUUGGGAUGAAACUCAUUUUGGGAAGAUGGGCAGUUACUACAUUAAUCGGACCUUCUUCUUUGAUGUCCACCCCCCUCUGGGGAAGAUGCUGAUUGGACUUGCUGGCUACCUUAGUGGAUAUGAUGGCACAUUUCCUUUCCAAAAGCCAGGAGACAGAUAUGAGCAGCACAACUACGUGGGAAUGAGAGGGUUCUGUGCGUUCCUUGGUUCCUGCCUGGUUCCCUUCGCCUACCUCACAGUGCUGGAACUGUCAAAGUCACUGCCAGCAGCAUUACUCACAGCUUUCAUCCUUAUUUUUGAUACAGGAUGUAUUACUUUGUCCCAAUAUAUUCUACUGGAUCCCAUUCUCAUGUUCUUCCUCAUGGGAGCUGUUCUGAGUAUGGUGAAAUGCAACGGCUGUGCGAAUAGGCCAUUUUCUGCUUCCUGGUGGUUCUGGCUGAGUCUGACUGGCGUGAACCUUGCUGGGGCAAUGGGCGUAAAGUUUGUUGGCCUUUUUGUAGUCCUCUUGGUUGGCCUGAACACAAUCUAUGACCUAUGGGACUUGCUGGGGAACCUCAGCCUGUCACUGGUCAUGUUUGGGAAGCAUUUACUGGCUCGUGUACUCUGCCUCAUCCUGCUCCCGCUUGCCCUCUACACGGCUAUGUUUGCUGUUCAUUUUACAGUAUUAAAUAAAAGUGGUCCUGGGGAUGGUUUCUUCAGCUCAGCAUUUCAGUCCCAGCUGAUUGGGAACAAUCUUCAUAAUGUCUCUGUUCCAGAGCACUUGGCGUAUGGGUCUGUUGUCACAAUGAAGAACCUUCGGAUGGCAGGAGGAUACCUUCACUCCCACUGGCACCUCUACCCGGAGGGCAUUGGGGCUCGCCAGCAGCAGGUCACUGCCUACUUGCAUAAAGAUUUGAAUAACCUGUGGAUUAUAAAGAAACCUGAUUUGGAUACAGAUCUGUCAGACCCCUCGAGCCCUGUGGAAUUUGUGAGGCACGGAGAUAUUAUUCGUCUGGAACAUAAAGAAACUUCUAGAAAUCUUCACAGUCACCAGCAUGAGGCUCCCCUGACGAGGAAGCAUUUCCAGGUCACUGGCUAUGGAAUAAAUGGAACAGGAGACUCCAAUGACUUCUGGCGGAUCGAAGUGGUAGGCAGAAAGGCUGGGAAGCUCAUCAAAGUCCUACGGAGUCAGGUCCGGCUAAUCCAUGUGGCCACAGGGUGUAUACUGGGCUCUUCUGGAAAGACUCUGCCAAAAUGGGGUUGGGAACAAGUGGAAGUCACCUGCACACCAUACCUGAAGGAGACCCCCAAUUCCCUCUGGAACUUUGAAGAUCACAUUAACCCUAAGUUGCCCAAUAUCAGCCUGGAUGUUUUAAAACCCUCUUUUGCAGAAAUUCUGCUAGAAUCCCACAUGGUUAUGAUUCGGGGAAACAGCGGCCUCAAACCAAAGGACAAUGAAGUUACAUCCAAACCUUGGCACUGGCCCAUCAACUACCAGGGCCUGCGUUUUUCUGGUGUCAAUGAGACCGAUUAUCGGGUUUAUUUGCUGGGGAACCCGGUGAUUUGGUGGCUAAAUCUGGUCACUAUUGGGUUAUAUCUUCUGAUAACAGUUUCCACUGCAGUGGCCCUGAAGAGAGGUGUCCAACUGACAUCUGAACUCAAAGAACUGUCCAGAGUCAUGCUACAUGGUGGAGGGCAGAUCGCGCUGGGCUGGCUCCUUCAUUACCUCCCUUUUUUUAUGAUGGGACGAGUUCUCUACUUUCACCACUACUUUCCUGCCAUGCUUUUUUCCAGCAUGUUGACAGGAAUCACCUGGGACGCUCUACUGAAGUUCUGUGCUGGAUUCCUGUUACCUAGCACUACAGCUAGAAAAGUGUAUGGAGGGGGGUUCCUGGCACUGGUUCUGCUCAUCAUGUACAGCUUCUACCUCUUCCAUCCUCUGUCCUACGGGAUGAUAGGACCCAUGGCCUCUGACCCUAGCAGCCCCAUGGCAGGGCUCCGGUGGAUGGACUCCUGGGAGUUCUAGAGGCAGCAAAGGAAGCCUGGGAACAGUGGAUGAGAAGCAUGAGAUCAGCUGCAUGUCGGGCUGGUUUUGGUGCUUUGGAGACCUGUGACUGUAAAAUGCCCUCUCUGGAGAACGCUGGGUACAGUAGCCCUGUUGCUUUGGCAUUUGUUUGCACUGCCUGCAUUGGAAGAUGCAGAGGAUGAUCAUGAGAAGGUCGUCUUAAAAAGACUCAUGUCCUGAAUCCUUAGGUUAUAUUUCUGGACAACUGGCUGCUUAAAUCUCAAUUCUUUAAAGCAAUAUGUAUCAGUCAAACAGCAGUGGCAUUCCAGCAGCCAGACCAGGACAAGUUGGAGGCUGUGUGUAGUUGCGUGUGUGUGUGUGUGUGUGUGUGUGUCUUCCUUCUUGUAAUUCAAGCACUGUUACUGUUUGAGAGCCAGACAGUGUCUGAGACAUUAGGACUUUUAUCAUGAUUAACAACCUUUCUUACAGCGAGGCUUUUGAAAGCUUCAUGUAAGUAGCUGUGGACCUCCAUUCCACCCUGCCCUGACUGUCUGCAUUUUUUUGUUCUGACCCUGAACUUUUGGAAUUUGACUGAAAGGGGUCUGCUUGAAAUCUCCUGAGCCACUGUGCCUUGCCUGUCUCCUAGGCCCUCUGCAGACAGGGGAGAUGGAGAUUAUUUAUCCCUGUAUACUGCCUUGCUUUCUGGUCACCUUUAAUCAUUUAUAACAAUCACCUGGCGGGCCUGUGCUUAGAGCCACUGUUCCAGCUCAGCACUUAGUAGCUUCUUUGCAGUUCCAUCUGAAACUGUUAAGGAAAUUACAGUGGAAAUAGCAGGUGAUUUAUUUUCUGCCCCAGUAUGCUGUGAAGUCCAGCUUCUUGGGGUUGUACUAGAGACUGAAAUGGUAGCUUGGAAAUUUUACAGACAGCUGUCGUUCAUCUUUUGAUCCCAGCUAUUCCAGUGACAGUACCUGUGCUUUCAGGGGGAAGGCUUCAUCUUACUGAAUGUAGCAUCUGCAAAACUGGCUGUCAGUGCCAUGGUAUCUGUUCACUGUAUUUCAAUAUUGAACAAGUUCCCUCUCAUUAAUGGCUGAACAUCAAAUUACUGUACUGAAGGAAAUGUGAGGCCAGGCAAAAAUUCUUUGUCUGUUAAGAGCCAUUGGAUGUUGAAUCCACCCCUUCCAAGAAAGCAGAAUUCUAUUUAUUAGGUGCCUUUUUUCUGUGUUAGGUCUAUGUUCCUUUUACUCCAUCUCUUCACCCGAUUUCAAUUUCUUGUCACAGUUCAAGGUUGCUAGUUUGUAGCAUCUAACAUGAAGGACACUUGGAUCCCAGCUGUGUUCCUGUCUAAAGAAGUAAUAUUUGCAAAACUCUUUUGUGUAUGUUUCAUUAAAACCAAGCCUUUCAUUUCAGAGUUCUUGCUCUGCUCCUCAGCCUUGCAUCAAAAUUGCAGGUACAGGGAGAGCAGCAGGUGAGGGUGUCUGUCUUGAAACAUGAAUCGUGCGUUCAUUUCUCUUACCAAACUUUGAAUUCUAAUGUAUUUCCUACAACACAGAAGGGCUGCAUUAGCAUAGUGGUUCUGUGGGGGGGACUGAGACUCCAGUCAGACUUGCUUUCAUUCCUCUUCAGUAGAGAUCCAUAGCACUGUUCAGUAAGGCAGCUGCUUGCUAUUGUAAGGCUCUGGCUUGGUAUGUCACAUCUCUCUCAGAAGUUGACUUUUUGAUGCUAACUCCGAUGGUAUGGACCUGUGCUUUUGAUUCUGAAGUUUUUGAGUUAAUCACCUGCUGGUAAUACAUGGUGGGAAGUCAUUGCACUAAUUAGCUACUGGGCUUGAUGAUUCCUUUCCACUUGCUAUUGCAGGAAGUGCUCCCACCUACAUGAGCCAGGGGUUCACAGAGGUGAUAGAUACACAAGAAGGAUGGGGGAGAAGGCUGCAAACUUCUUCAGAUCCUGCUUGAUCUGACGGCCGCUGUGAAUUGUUAACUGUUGGCAAUGUGGCAGGCAGACAGUGCAGUGCUGCCUUUGUAGCAGUGUGAUUCAGCAUCUUCUGGUCUUGGUGAGAUUAUUGCCUUAAUACCUUGCUAUCCUGAAUAUGAGCUUUCCCUAAGGUAGUCUUAUUACCAUGGGGAGGAUUUGCCAGAAGAGCUCAUAAAAGCCAUGAUUUAAAGUGCAGGGUUUUUUUCCAGCACAUACAAUCACCCACUUGCCCUUAACAUUAACAAAACCCCCCCAACAAACCAAACAAACUCUAAGAAGCAUGUGAGUGUUUUGGAAUGACAGUUUCUAACAUUCUUUAUUCAUCAAUUUAAAUCUGUGGGAAAGCAAAAAUUAAUUCGAUAACCUUGGUUACUUCAGUUAUGAAGGGGUUAGCUUUGUAGGAGCUGCCUGAGGAAGGUGAGCCAGUGCGUUCUUUGGCCAGGGUCCCUCUAUCCUUUAUUACUAAUAAUCUUUUGGGUGGGGAUUGGUGGCUGAGUCUGGGGAUUGGCCAGCUGAAAGUAGCAAAUGUUGUGCUCCCAUCCCACCUUCCCGUGCACAAGCCCAGGUUCUGUUUCAAUACGGACAAAGGUUUGUUUUUCUUUAGGACUGCCAUUUCAGGAACCCUCUGAAAGCACUUGGUUGGGAUUGGGACUAUUUCUUAGACCUUGUGUGCUGGUAAGGGGAUGGAGGCAUACAGUGAAAAACAUCUAGCUAUUCCACAAGAGGGAGCAACUUGCAGCAGAAUCUUUUCUUUUGUUUCUCUCUUUUGUUUUAAUCUGGAGUUAGAAGUAAUAAAAGGUAUACAUUUGAAGAUUGUAGAGCAGACAUCUCCUCUGCACCCUCUGAACUCCAAGGGUUGGCUUUUCAGUUAUUUUAGUUAGAAUUUAACCUUCAGUGUUUGGUUCUCAAAACAAAACCUGUAAGGCCAUAGCUGUAUGUAAUAGUAACUUAUUUUGUGAAUUCAAUAAAAUACAAUAAAUGGGAUUCCCUUAGUGACUGACUUAAAAUGUCUCAGUGGUGCAGGUGUGAGGCAAUAGGUGCAGGGCAUUCUUCUUUCUGAAUGGAAUUUGGGCUGCUUCAGUUCAUUUUUUCCAUUUGUGCUUGUGGAAUGAGUUCAAGUUCUCUUUGAGGACUGCUUAUUCAUCUUCUUCCCCAGUCAUGUGGAAGACAGCUAAUGGUGCUUUCUGAGGCCAGAAGAUGCUGUUCUUUGGAGCAGCUGCUCUCUUUGAACUUCGCUUGAUGGGACUCCUUUUAUCACUGGCAAAGUAUUUCAUGAAACUGUAUCUGUGGAUUCAAAUCACAGAAAGCUACAGGCUGCCACGUUCCUUUCUCAUGUGUAAACUCAUAUUUUCAGCUCUUCAGUCUUUGAAGGAUAGAUAGAAGGCUUCUAGGCUCAUCUAGCUUCAUCCUAGACAAUCCAUCCAUCUUAAAAGGUUUCUGUUAACAGUCACUUCAGGACACCAAUGUGCACACACCUGUUCCAGCAGCAUGGACUGGCCUGUCUCCACUAAGUGGACUACUCAUGCUAUCAGAUGAGGAUGUGAUCAUGAGGAGGAUUUGAAUGGAGGUUCCUGUGCCAAAGUUCCUGUCAUGCGCUGCGUACCAGCAUAGUUCACAGCCCUGUGGGUGGGAGGGCAUCUCGUCUGCAUCUCUCUUAUCUGCAGAGAGUUUUCUUUUCCAUCUUAAUUGGAAGGAUGUACUGAUGAACACAGGGCAUUGACAGGAUCUACAUUUUUGUAUCUCCUCUUUGCUUCUGCUUCUUCAGGUAUGCCCAAAGUACAGGAUACACCUUUGCUGCUCCUCCAGUUUUUAGGCUGUGCAUCCUUUUCUUAGGGGUGCCGUACAAGGGGUGGGACAGGACACAUAGGUAUUCAUCCACUCCAGAUACUGUCAUGUGCACUGAGAGCAAAAGCAGAACCUUGUUAUGGAAAGGUAAACAGAUGUGUUAUUUGACAGUAGCUUCCUUAUCUCUCUGAGAAUUGUUUUCAAGGGACUUGAGAGUGUCAACAUAGGAAGCGCAGGCAUUUACUUGAAAUUCUCCAUUGCCAUGCUUAGUGGCUUCCCUUCCAGAGGCCGUGCCUGUGUGACUUACCCUCUGGGUUGGCACUCUGCGCACGAGCACCAUUAUAACACUGUUUCCUCCUCUCAGGAUCCUGCUGGCAAUGUGAAAAUCUGCUUAGCGGUGCCCUGUGCCUCUGCCAGGUGGGGAAUAUAGAGCCCCAAAACUGGAAUGGCUUAGAUGGGUGAGGAGGAGACAACCUCAAGCAGGAAAGGAUCCCACACAUAGAAGCAAUAACACAUGGGCUUUGCUUUGAAAACAGAUGGCUGAGUGCAAAGCUGAAAGGUUGUGAUGCUAUCACAGCCCUGCCAUGAAGGAAUGGAUGCAAUUAAAUGCAGAAUCUUUGUUUUAAUAAAUCACAUCAAAGAUGCUAUUCUCUGAGACUACUGCUGUAGAUCAAAUGAUCGUAGGAGAUGCCCUGGUCGAUAGUGGCAAUUCAAACUGCAAGAAGAAGGGAAAGAACAGACAGAGAUCAGAAAGAAGACAAUCAAUGAGCGCUUCAGAGAUCAGCACCAAUGGCACUUCUGAAACAAGGCAAAUGCAGCAGGGAAACUACAGAGGACGAUCCACAGGGAGUAAGGAUCCUUUCACCAAGCUUUUGUCAUGUUUCAGCAGCUGAAGGAUGAUCCAGUCCAGGAGUAUAAGGACAACUGGAGGAAAAUCCAAGCCCAUGUGCACCAUCCCUAGGUCAGUGAGUUUCUGCAGAAAUCUGCCUCCCCUUUCUCCUAGUGGCCUACAGUGGAUUUUGGAGCAGUCUGUGCUGCUGACCUGAUGGUUCUUCACUCAUGCGAGCUCCAGGGACAGUCUUGUAGAAAUUCAGGAACAUCUCAGAAAAGAGCUGAGCUGCCAGGCUAGGUACGUGGAGUCAGGGGAGCUGGGGACCAUCACAGGAAACCCUCAGACCAUGGAAACAUUUGCUGUGCUCAAUCUUUUGAUGCAUCCUGGGGCUUCCUCAUGCUUGGAGGCUCACAAAACACUUGAACAAGAAGGGAGGUUUGCUUGUUUGUUUUUCCUUGUACUUUAAAUCCUCUCUGGACUCCACUUGUGCUGUCUGCAUCUCAGUGCCAUGGCAGCAGGAGGAACUCUUCUGACAGCUGUGUAGCUGCAAGGGAGAAGCUACUUUGCACACAGGGAAGAACACCACGUCUCCUGAGCCCUUGCUCUUUUAAAUCAUGUGAAUGGUGGUUCAGAUGUUUCUUACCCCUGAGCUCUCCCUGCCUCCCACCUCAAGUCCCUCCCUACAGCUCCCUCCUCCUGCGUUGGAAGGUCUGCGCUGUCACAGGGAAAAAACUGCUGGGUUUAUUAAGGGAGAGGACGGGAGAGGACGUUUACCAGUGCCAGAAAGCAGCAAAAGGAUGGAUUCACUGGUCAGAGGAGCAGGGAAGGUGGGCAAACUGCUCCUGAAUGUGCCCUACCCUCCCCAGAAGGAGUUAUUUAUUGUUGGGGAGCAGGGACGGGAUUAGCUGUCUUAGGUUCUUGGACUCUGCCGAGUGUCAGAAGCAUGGGGUUUGGGUGCCAACAGGUGGGUAGGGCUAUGGCCAGUCCAUUGUCCCUUCCAUCAGCUGGGGCACCUGUAUGUGCCACAGAAGAAGACAUGUCAUGCUUAGCGCUCUCGCUGCUGCUAUAUCUGCUCUGUUCUGACACUUGUGCUUUGUCUGAGUACUCAGCAUGCAGACACCAUCUGCAGCACAGAGGGAAGGUGCAGGGGGGAAGACUUUGGACACGAGCCACCACUUUCCCUUGCCAUCAUGGCUUUACUGCUAUUGUCUGAGGUACCCUUGCCAUCAGGAACAAUGGCUGAACCUGCAUUUUGUUGUUGCCCCGGGUAUGGUGCCUGCAUGGACCUGAGGAAACAUGUCCUACAUCCCAACUAAGCUUUAGGAGCUGAUCAUUCUUAAUGACAUCUUGCUUUUGUGGUGCUUCUCUUCCUCCUCUAUCAGCCAGCUCUAAAUAUAUUCAAAAUGUUGCUAGGCAAAUACUCAGCCUCGGUUGCUGCUCUGACUGCCCAUACGUGCUUCAACUCUGCUCCUCAGUAUCCUGUGGUCUAGGGAGGACUCUUUGCUCUCCUUUCCAGUGCCCUGGCAGCACAGCACUGCCCACCUGUUCCGCUCCCCCUUCCUGUUAGCAGGGUCGGGCUGAACUGUCCAGCCAGGCUCUGGUGAAGCUCCACGUCUGUGGUUGUGACAACUGGCUGAAAUGUUGGAGCAGCUUGUGCAGAUGCACACAGGGUGACAUUUCAUGCUCUUUGCUGGUGCGCUCGAUCAGCUGCAAGGUAGCUAAAGGCUGAUGUUUGCGUUGGCACUACUGGGCUUGUGUUCACCAGCCUGCUCAAAUUAACCUCCUAUUUCCUGCUGCCCUUUCAAGGCUCCUUGCAGCUUCAGCAGUUAUCAUCGCACUAUUUAUCAUCGGUCCCCAUUGUGAAUGUUUCCUUUGCAACCACACAGCUAAGAUGCUGUUUUUAGUGGGAGUGUGUCGUGGACCAGAAGAUGGUGGCCAACAGCAGGAAGCACUGAAGCUCUGUGAGCUGGCAGGUUGCAUGUUCUGACCCCCCCGGCCAUGAGAUGGCCCUGCAGCUGUUGACUUCUUUAUUAUUGAAUGCUUUCUAUUUAUCCUUUGUUUUCUAGGAAUACAGAUGUGUGGAGAUCAUAUGCUUUUGGGCUUGUCCAGGUUAUCAUGAAAGCUAAAAUGCUGUACUUUUAACAGGAACCAUGAUUUAACAGAAGCCAUUUGCAUCUUUCCAGCACUUGGGACCUUUGUCAUUAAGUCUGUUCUAGCAAUGGCAUUCAAAACACAGUAUACCUGGAACAUGAGUUGUUUACUGGCUUGGUAGCCAGCGAUCUGUAAGUAUUUGUGGGGCUCCUUAGUCCCAUCAGACAGUUCAAUUUCUUUGUGAGUGUGUUGGACGCUUCAAGAGCCCAGCUUUAUGACUGGGUUCUCCAGCUUCCUCCAAUGUAUAUAGAGCUUUUCCUAUAGAGCAUCUUGCCUGGUCUGCCCGGGAGUGCGAGGUGUCAAAAGCCUGAGAAAACAGGUAAUUUAUUCUGACACUUGCAGAGACGUCUCUGGUGGCUUCCUGCUGUCACGGCAGUCAGUGCUGUCACUGGCUUUUUAGGAGAAAGGCCCCUGGGAGACAAGCUGGGGCUGGGGCUGAGGAUGUAGCAUUGUGCCUCUGAAUUUGUCUCUUCCCAGGGAUUAUUUUCAGUACCCCGAUGGGAAGAGCCUCCUUUCUGCCUGCACUGAGUCAGCGUGCUCCUGGUUGGGUCAGAGGCUGCUGUCUUCCCUCCUAAUUACAAGAAAUAAGUCUGAUGUAUAGAACCAGAACUUGUAAUAAGAUCAGUGCAAUUGUUGUUUCAGAGCAGAGUGUGAUGGUUUCAGUAGUAUUUGUGCUUUGGCGUUUCUCGCAUCCUCCCGAAAACCUUCGCUUGCACGACUGCUCUGGCUUUCCUGGCUUCUGUUUGUGCUGCUUGAGACCUCGCUGGCUCCUUCUCGCUUUGUUUCCUCCACGCUGCCCGAGUCCCAGGGCCAAAUUAACAGCAGUGCUUCCCUUUGUCUGAACAGUAAAGAGAAGCUGGGUGUUCUGAACAUGUUUGACAAAGAUGACAUGUCUUCUGCUCUGUUGUUAAUAACUUUGCCCGGUGCAGCUGGGUUAAUUAGCUUUAUAUUAAACAUGUUAUCUUGCA